rnacentral:rRNA from 1 species
CCUACGGGUGGCUGCAGUGAGGAAUAUUGGUCAAUGGACGAGAGUCUGAACCAGCGAAGUAGCGUGAAGGAUGACUGCUCUAUGGGUUGUAAACUUCUUUUAUAUGGGAAUAAAAUGUUCCACGUGUGGGAUUUUGUAUGUACCAUAUGAAUAAGGAUCGGCUAACUCCGUGCCAGCAGCCGCGGUAAUACGGAGGAUCCGAGCGUUGUCCGGAUUUAUUGGGUUUAAAGGGAGCAUAGGUUGAUUGUUAAGUCAGUUGUGAAAGUUUGCGGCUCAACCGUAAAAUUGCAGUUGAAACUGGCAGUCUUGAGUACAGUAGAGGUGGGCGGAAUUCGUGGUGUAGCGGUGAAAUGCUUAGAUAUCACGAAGAACUCCGAUUGCGAAGGCAGUUCACUGGACUGCAACUGACACUGAGGCUCGAAAGUGUGGGUAUCAAACAGGAUUAGAUACCCCAGUAGUC